rnacentral:rRNA from 1 species
CCUACGGGAGGCAGCAGUGGGGAAUAUUGGGCAAUGGUCGCAAGCCUGACCCAGCAACGCCGCGUGAAGGAAGAAGGCUUACGGGUUGUAAACUUCUUUUCUCAGGGACGAAGCAAGUGACGGUACCUGAGGAAUAAGCCACGGCUAACUACGUGCCAGCAGCCGCGGUAAUACGUAGGUGGCAAGCGUUAUCCGGAUUUACUGGGUGUAAAGGGCGUGUAGGCGGGACUGCAAGUCAGAUGUGAAAACCACGGGCUCAACCUGUGGCCUGCAUUUGAAACUGUAGGUCUUGAGUACUGGAGAGGCAGGCGGAAUUCGUGGUGUAGCGGUGAAAUGCGUAGAUAUUGGGAAGAACACCAGUGGCGAAGGCGGUCUGCUGGCCAGACACUGACGCUGAGGCGCGAAAGCGUGGGGAGCGAACAGGAUUAGAUACCCCUGUAGUC